CAACAAGUCUAUUACUCUGCCACUGCCAUGGCCACAAGAUGGAGUCUUGACCUCUGAGAUACAAAAGGAAGUCUUCUGGCAGGGUGUUAUUCCCAUGAGAUUCCCAAAUAAACUUCCUGCAUGCAAAUCUCCAUCUCAGCAUCUGUUUCCCUGAGGAGGAACCAACCUAAAAUGAAUUGCAAAUUAAAAUCUCAAAGUGAGUCAAAGCAACCAGAAUUUCCCUUCCCAAGAGGGGACCAGCCCCAUACCCAUGAGGAAAGGAUGCUACACAGAGAAGCCAAGAAGAGUCUGCAUGGAUAGGCCUUACUGGCUUCCUCACCUGAGUGUAUCACCAUUAAUUAGAUGAUACCUCUUUGUCCAAUCACAUUUCUACAUGGCUGUCCCCAGUUUAAGGACAAAAACAGACAGUCUCCCCUUGAGUCUUUGAGUCUUCAUUUUUG
rnacentral:lncRNA from 1 species